GAUGAACGCUGGCGGCGUGCCUAACACAUGCAAGUCGAGCGAACAGACGAGGAGUUUGCUCCUCUGACGUUAGCGGCGGACGGGUGAGUAACACGUGGAUAACCUACUUAUAAGACUGGGAUAACUUCGGGAAACCGGAUCUAAUACCGGAUAAUAUAUUGAACCGCAUGGUUCAAUAGUGAAAGUCGGUUUUGCUGUCACUUAUAGACGGAUCCGCGCCGCAUUAGCUAGUUGGUAAGGUAACGGCUUACCAAGGCAACGAUGGGUAGCCGACCUGAGAGGGGGGUCGGCCACACGGGAGCUGAGACGCGGUCCAGGCGCCUACGGGAGGCAGCAGUAGGGAAUCUGCCGCAAUGGGCGAAAGCCUGACGGAGCAACGCCGAGUGAGUGAUGAAGGUCUUCGGAUCGUAAAACUCUGUUAUUAGGGAAGAACAAAUGUGUAAGUAACUAUGCACGUCUUGACGGUACCUAAUCAGAAAGCCACGGCUAACUACGUG
rnacentral:rRNA from 1 species